AUUGAACGCUAGCGGGAUGCUUUACACAUGCAAGUCGAACGAGUGGCGGACGGGUGGGUAAGAUAUCGGCACGUGCCCAGGAGCGCGGGAUAACUACUCGAAAGAAUGGCUAAUACCGCAUACUAUUGGAUCGGCCGCUAUCGGAUUAGCUAGUUGGUGGGGUAAAGGAACACCAAGGCAACGAUCCUUAGCUGGUGUGAGAGGAAGACCAGCCACACUGGGACUGAGACACGGCCCAGACGCCUACGGGAGGCAGCAGUGGGGAAUUUUGGACAAUGGGGGAAACCCUGAUCCAGCCAUCCCGCGUGUAUGAGAAGGCCUUCGGGUUGUAAAGUACUUUUGGCAGAGAAGCGGUAUCUGCAGAAUAAGCACCGGCUAACUACGUGCCAGCAGCCGCGGUAAUUC
rnacentral:rRNA from 1 species